UGGGGAAUAUUGGGCAAUGGGCGAAAGCCUGACCCAGCAACGCCGCGUGAAGGAAGAAGGCUUUCGGGUUGUAAACUUCUUUUCUCAGGGACGAAGCAAGUGACGGUACCUGAGGAAUAAGCCACGGCUAACUACGUGCCAGCAGCCGCGGUAAUACGUAGGUGGCAAGCGUUAUCCGGAUUUACUGGGUGUAAAGGGCGUGUAGGCGGGACUGCAAGUCAGAUGUGAAAACCAUGGGCUCAACCUGUGGCCUGCAUUUGAAACUGUAGUUCUUGAGUACUGGAGAGGCAGACGGAAUUCCUAGUGUAGCGGUGAAAUGCGUAGAUAUUAGGAGGAACACCAGUGGCGAAGGCGGUCUGCUGGACAGCAACUGACACUGAUGCUCGAAAGUGUGGGUAUCAAACAGGAUUAGAUACCC
rnacentral:rRNA from 1 species